rnacentral:rRNA from 1 species
GAUGAACGCUGGCGGCGUGCCUAAUACAUGCAAGUCGAGCGAAUGGAUUAAGAGCUUGCUCUUAUGAAGUUAGCGGCGGACGGGUGAGUAACACGUGGGUAACCUGCCCAUAAGACUGGGAUAACUCCGGGAAACCGGGGCUAAUACCGGAUAACAUUUUGAACCGCAUGGUUCGAAAUCGAAAGGCGGCUUCGGCUGUCACUUAUGGAUGGACCUGCGUCGCAUUAGCUAGUUGGUGAGGUAACGGCACACCAAGGCAACGAUGCGUAGCCCGAGUGAGCAGGCGAUCGGCGACACUGGGAGUGAGAGACGGCCCGGAGUGCUUCGGUAUGCAGAUGAAGAGCAGCUUCCGCGAUGGACGAAAUUCUGACGGGGCGACGGCGCGUGUGUGAUGAAGGCUUUCGCGUCGGAGCACUCUGUUGUUAGGGAAGAACAAGUGGUAGUUGAAGCAGCUGGCUCCUAGGCGGUACCUAACCAGAAAGCGACGGCUAUCAACGAGGAAGCGGCUGCCGUAA